rnacentral:rRNA from 1 species
UUCGCCCUUAGAGUUUGAUCCUGGCUCAGGAUGAACGCUGGCGGCGUGCUUAACACAUGCAAGUCGAGCGAAGCACUUUAGUUGAUCCUUCGGGUGAUUCUACUGUGACUGAGCGGCGGACGGGUGAGUAACGCGUGGGUAACCUGCCUCAUACAGGGGGAUAACAGUUGGAAACGACUGCUAAUACCGCAUAAGCGCACAGCAUCGCAUGAUGCAGUGUGAAAAACUCCGGUGGUAUGAGAUGGACCCGCGUUAGAUUAGCUGGUUGGUGGGGUAACGGCCUACCAAGGCGACGAUCUAUAGCCGGACUGAGAGGUCGAACGGCCACAUUGGGACUGAGACACGGCCCAAACUCCUACGGGAGGCAGCAGUGGGGAAUAUUGCACAAUGGGGGAAACCCUGAUGCAGCGACGCCGCGUGAGUGAAGAAGUAUUUCGGUAUGUAAAGCUCUAUCAGCAGGGAAGAUAAUGACGGUACCUGACUAAGAAGCCCCGGCUAACUACGUGCCAGCAGCCGCGGUAAUACGUAGGGGGCAAGCGUUAUCCGGAUUUACUGGGUGUAAAGGGAGCGUAGACGGUAAAGCAAGUCUGAAGUGAAAUCAUAGGGCUCAACCCUGUAAUUGCUUUGGAAACUGUUUAACUAGAGUACCGGAGGGGCAGGCGGAAUUCCUGGUGUAGCGGUGAAAUGCGUAGAUAUCAGGAAGAACACCGGUGGCGAAGGCGGCCUGCUGGACGGUAACUGACGUUGAGGCUCGAAAGCGUGGGGAGCAAACAGGAUUAGAUACCCUGGUAGUCCACGCUGUAAACGAUGAUUAACUAGGUGUUGGAGAGUAAGACUCUUCGGUGCCGCCGCAAACGCAUUAAGUAAUCCACCUGGGGAGUACGUUCGCAAGAAUGAAACUCAAAAGGAAUUGACGGGGACCCGCACAAGCAGUGGAGUAUGUGGUUUAAUUCGAAGCAACGCGAAGAACCUUACCAGGUCUUGACAUCGUAUGCAUAUCUAAGAGAUUAGAGAAAUCCCUUCGGGGACAUAUAGACAGGUGGUGCAUGGUUGUCGUCAGCUCGUGUCGUGAGAUGUUGGGUUAAGUCCCGCAACGAGCGCAACCCUUACCUUUAGUUGCUACGCAAGAGCACUCUAAAGGGACUGCCGUUGACAAAACGGAGGAAGGUGGGGAUGACGUCAAAUCAUCAUGCCCCUUAUGACCUGGGCUACACACGUACUACAAUGGCGAUCAACAAAGAGAAGCAAGACAGUGAUGUGGAGCGAAUCUCAAAAAAUCGUCCCAGUUCAGAUUGCAGGCUGCAACUCGCCUGCAUGAAGUCGGAAUUGCUAGUAAUCGUGGAUCAGCAUGCCACGGUGAAUACGUUCCCGGGCCUUGCACACACCGCCCGUCA